rnacentral:rRNA from 1 species
UACAGAGGGUGCGAGCGUUGUCCGGAAUCACUGGGCGUAAAGGGCGCGUAGGCGGUGACUUAAGCGUGUGGGUGAAAGCUCGGGGCUCAACCCCGAGUCGGCCGUGCGAACUGGGUCACUGGAGCAUGUCAGAGGCAGGCGGAAUUCCGGGUGUAGCGGUGGAAUGCGUAGAGAUCCGGAAGAACACCGGUGGCGAAGGCGGCCUGCUGGGACAUGGCUGACGCUGAGGCGCGACAGCGUGGGAG